AUUGAACGCUGGCGGCAUGCCUUACACAUGCAAGUCGAACGGCAGCGCGGGCUUCGGCCUGGCGGCGAGUGGCGAACGGGUGAGUAAUAUAUCGGAACGUACCCAAGAGUGGGGGAUAACGUAGCGAAAGUUACGCUAAUACCGCAUACGAUCUAAGGAUGAAAGCAGGGGAUCGCAAGACCUUGUGCUCCUGGAGCGGCCGAUAUCUGAUUAGCUAGUUGGUGGGGUAAAGGCCCACCAAGGCAACGAUCAGUAGCUGGUCUGAGAGGACGACCAGCCACACUGGAACUGAGACACGGUCCAGACUCCUACGGGAGGCAGCAGUGGGGAAUAUUGGACAAUGGAGGCAACUCUGAUCCAGCCAUCCCGCGUGAAGGAUUAAGGCCCUAUGGGUUGUAAACUUCUUUUCUCUGGGAAUAAAAACCGGGAUUUAUCCUGGCUUGAAGGUACCAGAGGAAUAAGCACCGGCUAACUCCGUGCCAGCAGCCGCGGUAA
rnacentral:rRNA from 1 species